GAUCAUGGCUCAGGAUGAACGCUGGCGGCGUGCCUAACACAUGCAAGUCGAACGAGGUAAAUAAGAGGAAGUUUUCGGAUGGAAUCGUAUUUACCGAGUGGCGGACGGGUGAGUAACGCGUGGAUAACCUGCCUCAUACAGGGGGAUAACAGUUAGAAAUGACUGCUAAUACCGCAUAAGCGCACAGUACUGCAUGGUACAGUGUGAAAAACUCCGGUGGUGUGAGAUGGACCCGCGUUUGA
rnacentral:rRNA from 1 species